rnacentral:rRNA from 1 species
UACGUAGGGGGCUAGCGUUGUCCGGAAUCAUUGGGCGUAAAGAGCGUGUAGGCGGCCCGGUAAGUCCGCUGUAAAAGUCAAAGGCUCAACCUUUGAAUGUCAGUGGAUACUGCCGGGCUAGAGUCCGGAAGAGGCGAGUGGAACUCCUGGUGUAGCGGUGGAAUGCGCAGAUAUCAGGAAGAACACCAACGGCGAAGGCAGCUCGCUGGGACGGUACUGACGCUGAGACGCGAAAGCGUGGGGAGCGAACAGGAUUAGAUACC